rnacentral:rRNA from 1 species
GUGGAUUAGAUACCCUAGUAGUCCACAGCUGUAAACGUUGGGUACUAGGUGUGGGGUCUGACCAACGGACUCCGUGCCGGCGCUAACGCAUUAAGUACCCCGCCUGGGGAGUACGGCCGCAAGGUUAAAACUCAAAGGAAUUGACGGGGGCCCGCACAAGCAGCGGAGCAUGUUGCUUAAUUCGAGGCAACGCGAAGAACCUUACCUGGGUUUGACAUGUAGGGAAAAGCCGCAGAGAUGCGGUGUCCUACGGGGCCCUACACAGGUGGUGCACGGCCGUCGCCAACU